rnacentral:rRNA from 1 species
UACGUAGGAUGCAAGAGUUGUCCGGCUUUUUUGGGUUUAAAGGGUGCGUCGGCGGCCUUUUAAGUUAGUGGUGAAAACGUUCGGCUUAACCGGAUACCCGCCAUUGAUACUGAUAGACUUGAGUGCGACAGAGGGUGUUGGAAUGUGUGGUGUAGCGGUGAAAUGCUUAGAUAUCACGCAGAACACCAAUUGCGAAGGCAGAUGCCUAUGUCGUAACUGACGCUGAGGCACGAAAGCGUGGGGAGCAAACAGG